rnacentral:rRNA from 1 species
AGUGAACGCUGGCGGUAGGCCUAACACAUGCAAGUCGAGCGGCAGCACAGUAAGAGCGUGCGCUUACGGGUGGCGGGUGGCGGACGGGUGAGGAAUACAUCGGAAUCUACUUUUUCGUGGGGGAUAACGUAGGGAAACUUACGCUAAUACCGCAUACGACCUACGGGUGAAAGCAGGGGAUCUUCGGACCUGGCGCGAUCGAAUGAGCCGAUGUCGGAUUAGCUAGUUGGCGGGGUAAAGGCACACCAAGGCGACGAGCCGUAGUGGGUCUGAGAGGAUGAUCAGACCCACUAGAACGGUGACACGGUCCAGACUCCUACGGGACGCAGCAGUGCGGAAUAUUAGACUAUGGGCGCAAGCCUGAUCCAGCCCUACCGCGUGGGUGACGAAGGCCUUCGGGUUGUAAAGGUAUUCUGUUGGGAAAGAAAAGCAGCCGGUUAAUACCCCGCUGUUCUGACGGUACCAAACGAAUAAGCACCGGCUAACUUCGUG